rnacentral:rRNA from 1 species
UGGGGAAUAUUGCACAAUGGGCGCAAGCCUGAUGCAGCGACGCCGCGUGAGGGAUGACGGCCUUCGGGUUGUAAACCUCUUCAGCAGGGACGAAGCGAAAGUGACGGUACCUGCAGAAGAAGCACCGGCCAACUACGUGCCAGCAGCCGCGGUAAUACGUAGGGUGCAAGCGUUGUCCGGAAUUAUUGGGCGUAAAGAGCUCGUAGGCGGCUUGUCGCGUCGGCUGUGAAAACCCGGGGCUUAACCCCGGGUCUGCAUUCGAUACGGGCUAGCUAGAGUGUGGUAGGGGAGAUCGGAAUUCCUGGUGUAGCGGUGAAAUGCGCAGAUAUCAGGAGGAACACCGGUGGCGAAGGCGGAUCUCUGGGCCAUUACUGACGCUGAGGAGCGAAAGCGUGGGGAGCAAACAGGAUUAGAUACCC